rnacentral:tRNA from 1 species
GCCGGAGUGGUGAAAUUGGUAGACGCGCUGGACUCAAAAUCCAGUAUCGGCAACGAUGUGAGAGUUCGAGUCUCUCCUCCGGCA